UUUUCUUGUCUCUCUCCUCAGUGUGUAGUGAGUGGUGGGACUGGGAGCUGGGUAUGGCUGGCCUUGGCACACUAAGGGUAGAAUUUUAGCAAGGAUGGCGGUCUGGCGAGUGGCUUUGGCUGGGUUAGGACAGCAAUAGCACCGGUUCCUUGUUUCUGGAGCAGAGAAACCAGAUCCGGAUCCUGUUCGUAGAACAGCAAACAAAAGCACUUGACUGACGGCCAGAUUUCUUCUCGUGGCUGCACUCGGGUUUCCACGCUCCCAGUAUGACGCUUGAGAGACGGCAGGUAACGCAAUCUCAGGUGUGCUCGGGGGCGUGGCCGACCCUUUUCUCCUUCUUCACCUUGAUCACCCGCAGCGCAGCGACAAACACGGCUCCGUUUCAACCACUUAUCCUGCUCGGCUGAAAUAAUCAUCUGAUCAGCUCUCGCUCUCACACUCCCUUCUCUGUUUCUCUCACUUGUUUCCACUCCUCAUUGCAUGGAAGUACAGUCUGUUUUUUCACCCUCUGUCUGCAGUUAUUCUGAAUAUAAUGUUCGAGGCUCUGGUUCCUUCUUUUACCUUUUUAGCUCUAUAUGGAAAUUGUGUGAUAGUGCAAGGACACUCAUGGAUGGCAUAUUCUCUCUUAUUAGUAUGCGGCGCUUUUGAAAGGUGACAGUAAUCCAAGUAUUAUGGAUAUGCAGCAUGACUUCCUGGGACUUGUUGAAAUAAUCAUUUUGUCUGUUCAAGUGUUUUUACUAACGGCACAGUACACAUUCCUAAGCCCUGACACAAGUGUUGACAAACAAGCACAUAUGAACGAAGUGAAAAUUAGGGCAUAAGGAGCGCUAUUACGCAUAAUGUAUAAAUGUCAUUUUUGUGAUUAAAUAUGAAAGCUUCAAAUCUAUCCUUUCUGCUUGCUAGGUAUACUGUAUAUUUUUGAGAGGGCCAACUCCCUGGCGUGCAGUAUUUUAGAGUGCCCAUUUAGCCAGGCCCCCUGCUCUCCUGACAGCUGAUGGAAAAGGCAGUGUAACAAUGAGCCCCCACCGUGCCUCUCUGCCUGCCCCCAACCACCAGGGGAAGAGGAAGCAGCGGCAGCCGUGUGACACAUUAUUCUGUCCCCCCGGAACCUGCAGCCAGGCCAAGCCCCCCCUCCGGGUUCCCUUGGACCUCUAAGUGCCGAGCCAGGGACUGAGUGACAUUUCCAGAGUCCUGACCUUUGUUUUUCCAUUGACUGGGAAGACGUUUGAAGGAGGUACAGUGCACGCUGGUCGACUCUGCAAACUGCACACACUGGCAAUUACACACACCAUUUUAGUUUGUCUCGCACAAAAGGAAAACCGAGCGCUAUGCUGUCACGGAGCUUAUUUUUUCAUAAACUGCGAGAGAAACGUGGUUUACGUUUUACUAUGCCGAAUCUGUCCGAAAAGCCACGACAAACUUAACUAGACUAAUGAAAUGAAACCUUACGGCACUUUGACUAAACUUUAAGAGCAAAAAUGACCACUGGAGACCAAAUCAUGGCACAUUUUAUGUUUCUAAAAAGUCCCCUCAAAAUGAAGUCUGAUUAUUGAAUCAUUUUGCAUUACUUUGAAAAGUCUACUGCAAAAUUAAUUCAGGAGCCAUGUUGGUUUGAAGUAUGGGUUCUUGUAGGAUUACAUUUAAAAGCAAAACAGGAGAAAGGAAAGCCUCAUGUGGAGAAAAUGGCUUAAAAUGGAAUGUACUGCAGUGUUGAUAGGUUGAGUCUUGGGCUGUAUUAAUGAUAUAAGCUGCUGGCCAGUGCUUUGGUCAAAUCAGACACCUGCUAUGGCUGCCACACUCCGAGAACGAUGACAUCACAGGGAGCAGGGCAAGUCAGAUCCGCUGUUAAUCGCUCACCUUAAUUGAGUGCUCUGCUGAGAUCCAAAUUGCUCAGUACAAUCAAGACUCAUUUUUGAGUCCCACCAUGUGCUCUUAGGCCAUGAUGAGAUAUUGCCUUCAUUUCCUGUUGUUUCUGAAUAUUAGCCUGCCUUUCAAUACGCCCCCUACAUAUUCACGCUUUUUACUCGUAGCCUCCAGGUUGCUGUUUUUACUGGCUAUUUUUCACUAAUUUCUCUGAAUUCCAUGUGGGAGAGGAAGCUAUUGUUUUCGAACAUCCUGAUCCUAGGAGGACUGAACUCACUUGGUUUAGUCUUCAGUAAGUCGCUUUGGAUGAAAGUGUCUGCUAAAUGACUGAAUGUAAAUGUAAAUGUACUCAUCAUUUGUUCACUAAUUCCAAAUCGGCAGUAAGUAUGGACCAGUAAUGAAACAAAGUGAUUCUUUCUUUUUCUUCCUGAACACAGACAGAUCUUGUAUCACCUUGAAUGGGUUUAUUUUUCUGUUUGAACUGUACAUUAUCCAGCUUACUAUGCUACUACUCAUAAAAUAAAUUAAUAUAUGUCAUUUUGA